rnacentral:rRNA from 1 species
GAAAAAAGUGGGUAAACCAAUAAAUGCAAGUCGUAGCGGACAGUAAAGGAGCUUGCUCCCGAGAUGUUAGCGGCGGACGGGUGAGUAACACGUGGGUAACCUGCCUGUAAGACUGGGAUAACUCCGGGAAACCGGAGCUAAUACCGGAUAGUUCCUUGAACCGCAUGGUUCAAGGAUGAAAGACGGUUUCGGCUGUCACUUACAGAUGGACCCGCGGCGCAUUAGCUAGUUGGUGAGGUAACGGCUCACCAAGGCGACGAUGCGUAGCCGACCUGAGAGGGUGAUCGGCCACACUGGGACUGAGACACGGCCCAGACUCCUACGGGAGGCAGCAGUAGGGAAUCUUCCGCAAUGGACGAAAGUCUGACGGAGCAACGCCGCGUGAGUGAUGAAGGUUUUCGGAUCGUAAAGCUCUGUUGUUAGGGAAGAACAAGUGCAAGAGUAACUGCUUGCACCUUGACGGUACCUAACCAGAAAGCCACGGCUAACUACGUGCCAGCAGCCGCGGUAAUACGUAGGUGGCAAGCGUUGUCCGGAAUUAUUGGGCGUAAAGGGCUCGCAGGCGGUUUCUUAAGUCUGAUGUGAAAGCCCCCGGCUCAACCGGGGAGGGUCAUUGGAAACUGGGAAACUUGAGUGCAGAAGAGGAGAGUGGAAUUCCACGUGUAGCGGUGAAAUGCGUAGAGAUGUGGAGGAACACCAGUGGCGAAGGCGACUCUCUGGUCUGUAACUGACGCUGAGGAGCGAAAGCGUGGGGAGCGAACAGGAUUAGAUACCCUGGGUAGUCCAG